GGGGGCGGGCUGGGGCGUCGAUGCUCCUGCCACGUGACCCACGAGGGGCGAGCCCAGGACGUGGAGGUGCCUGCCAUGAGCACGCACGGGGAUGUGCCGGGACGUGGAGACGCCACGCCAUGUGACACGCGAGCAGGCGCGCCGGGUCAUCAAGGAGCCCUGCCACGUGACAUUUAAGGAGUGUGCUUGGGACUUCGAGACACCUGCCACGAGGUAGAAAGGUAAACUCAUGAUCAGACAAUGCAGUGACAAGUCCUGGAGGGGGCACGGGGACUGAACCUUCACACACUACUAGUUGGGAUGGAAGAUGGCACAGCUCCUGUGGAAACAGCCUGACUGCUCCUCCUCUGUAACUCUGUGAGUGAAAUAAAGUAUCUUUUCACGUGUGAAAGAGUGCAGCACUCUGAGACACCCGUGGCCGCAGAAGACUGGGGUCUGGAUCCUGGGCUGGCCCGGACGUGCCGGGGAAGCGUGUGUGCCCAUGAUCCCGGCUGGCUGCGAAGGCUCGGGGGAGCAGCAUGGCUCAGGCCCUGUUGAGGGCGCACAUGUUUCUCUCUGUUUC